UGUGAGGGAGAACAAAUUUCAGCUUUCUCUUCAACAACUGGAUUAUCGGUGGCUAUGAAAUGAGAGGGUGUAAACUAAGGCAUGGAGAUACGAAUAGUGACAAAAUGUCUGAAUGAAUAUUGGACUAUGGAACUUCGGAAGUCGAGGGCUGGAAUAAAUUCCAGCAUGGCUGAGUCAUGGCUUCAAUCAAUGUCAUCAGCUCAGCCAUACGGAAACUCUCCUGGUGAUUAAUGCAGUCAAGAACACAGGAUUCCCUCCAUUCCCAUCCCCAUUGGAGGAAUACCUUCCCUAGACAAGCAGGAUGUCAGCAUAUCUCAUCCUUCCUUCGAAGCAGCUGAGCCAAGUCCUAGG